ensembl:lncRNA
CUGGAAUUCUGAUCAGGAGGAGGGUUAAUAUUUAAACUAAAGGGCUCUGGAUGACUAAAUCCUAUUCUCUCCUGACUUGCCUUGCUGCUGCUGCUGCUGCUAAGUCACUUCAGUCGUGUCCGACUCUGUGCGAUCCCAGAGACGGCAGCCCACCAGGCUCUCCUGUCCCUGGAAUUCUCCAGGCAAGAACACUGGAGUGGGUUGCCAUUUCCUUCUCCAGUGCAGGAAAGUGAAAAGUGAAAGUGAAGUCGCUCAGUCGUGUCCGACUCUUCGAGACCCCAUCGACUGCAGCCUACCAGGCUCCUCCACCCAUGGGAUUUUCCAGAUCUGUAUUUGGCCCUGAAAGAAGAGAUCUUAAUUUACCUUGAAGAAAAUGGCAGAGAAACUAGGGGAACCACACACUUGCCUUCAUCUUCCACGUCUUUUGGCCAGGAAGACCUAGCUCCCAAGAGGGAAGCAGUCAUGAACAGGCUGCUGUAGAGCAGGAGACAAACUCUAAUGGCCUUAGGAGCCAGGCAGAUACCAGAGAUGCAGAGAGAAAACAGGAAGUGAUGGGAACUGCAGCUCAGUGGGGAUACAUGUCCUAACCACAGGCCUUCAGAUUUGAAGAUUUCACAGCACCAAGCAUGCCGCUCAGCAAACACAUGGGUGGGCUUAAUGGGCCCUUGGGGCUGCUGUUUGUAACUCCUACUCUGGAGGGAUAUAUUGUCUCAUUCCUUCAAUAACUGUCUCACAAAGCCCACCUCCCCUGGAAAUCUGUCCUUCCUUCCUUUGCUUGUGAGUCUUGGUCUUUUCUAGUCUAGCUGCUCAUUUGCAAACAUUGACUGAGCACCUAUUUUGCACAAGACACUGUGGAAGAGGCAAAAACAAAAAAAAAGCCAGAGUGGAUACAGGAUCCAAACUUAAAGCAAAGCAUCUAGAAAAGAGAGGAGUGUUGCAGUGAGCUGUUACAUAUAUGCUGUUGUGAUAAUGUUGCAAUUUGCUAGGGAAAUAGUAAAGAAAUCGCUCUGUCUAGGGCAGGAGCAGAGGGAUGUUUCAUUGUGGAGGUGUCUCGUGAGUCCUGACGGGCUCUGACAAGGAGGGUGGCUGGCAGGGAGGGUAAGUGCAAGCCGUCACAGGCCCAUGGCUUGGGGUUUUGCCUGUCUCUCACGUGUAUGUUUAUUCCCUUCUUCCUGUUGGAAUUUUGGAAGCUCCUUGAAGGAGGUGACUGCGUCCCCUAUGUGGUUUUCCCGAUUUCCUUGACAUUCUGUAACACCUAUCUUAGUUUUUCUCGCUCUUGAAGAAUCUGUUUCUGGUUGUUGAGAAAAGGAGAUGCCAGAUUUUGUAUCAGUGGGAAGCAGACAGUCCGAGGCAUUUUCGGAACACAGAUAAAGGUGGCGAGAUUGGUGCUGGAUCUGAACGAGCCGAGCGAGGAUUCCUCAGACUGCGGCUGACAGAUGAUGUCUUGCCCCUGAUAAUAGUCCAUCAGGACUUCCUCCUCAGCUGAAAGGAGAGGACAGGCAGGCACAUUGGUCCCUAAUUGUCCCUAAUCACAGAUGUUCAGAGACAACCCAGAGAGAAGACCUCCCGCAUUAUGGAUCCGACCAGGAAGCAGCGGAUCAGGUUAUCAGCAGCCUGAGGAUAAGGAGUGUUGAUUUAGCUGUAGGAGCUUGGACCCAGGCUGAUUUCACAAAACCAAUGACAUGAGGGCUCAUCCCUUUAACCGAGGCUCCCAGUCUUGUCUGUUUCAGGAAAGGUGGAGAUGAAAUGGGGAAAAGAUAAGAACGUUUCCCGAACACCUGCUCUUUGUUGGACUAAAUUCUUUACCUAUAUGAGCUCAUUCACUCUUUACAAUGACUCACAAUCAAAUCGAUAACAGACGUUGUUUUUAAUUUUACUUUGGAGGAAAACUGAGCUACCGGGUUGCAUUGCCCACCCAGCAUCAAGCUUUGAGAAAGUUGCAGGGCUGACUUCAGUCCCAAGCUUGCUCAUCAUAGAAGCUGCUAUACUCUGCUGUCUCCGUGUCCUGGGGCAGCAUCCUCAGGAAGCAGACUCUGGCAGUGUUAGGUUUGGGCAUAGAAGGUGUGUGUGUGCGUGUUUGCUCAGUUGUGUCCGACUCUUUGAGGCCCCAUGGGCUGUAGCCCGCCAGACUCCUCUGUGUGUGGGACUUCCCAGGCAAGAAUACUGGGAUGGGUUGCCAUUUCCUUCUCCAGGAGUGUGUGUGUUAGUUGCUCAGUUGUGUCAGACUCUUUGCGACCCCAUGGACUGUAGCCUGCCAGGCUCUUCUGUCCAUGGGAUUCUCCAGGCAAGAAUACUGGAGUGGGUUGCCAUUUCCUUCUCCAGGGGAUCUUCCCCACCCAGGGACUGAACCCGUAUCAGCUGCAUUGGCAGGAGGGUUCUUUACAAUUGAGCCACUUGGGAUGCCCAUGAAGAGGAUGUGACCUUAGGUUAUUCUCUUUGGCUGAGAUCAAAUCUCUGAGUGGGGUUCAGGUAAAAGGCAUCAGCCCCAACCACUCCAAGUAUCUGGGGGCUUAGGGAUCACAGUACUAUGUCCACUACCCUACCCCCAAGCCCCCACCCCAGAGUAACUUACCUGGAAUCCAGGGCUUUCCCUACUGUGCCCUCUGAAUUAGAAGGAAAGCCUAUUAUUAGACUAGAACUCUUAGGAGAGGAAAGUUAUUUACAGAGGAUUAUCUACAAAAUAAAACUUUUCAAUAUAGUAUAGUCUUGUCCAG